rnacentral:snRNA from 1 species
GUGCUCACUUCAGCAGCACAUAUACUCACAUUGGAAUAGUACAGAGAAGAUGAACAUGGUCCCUGUGCAAGGUUGAUGCACAGAUUCAUGAACGGUUCCUUUUUUUU